UCCAUGAUUUUUUAUUACAGCAGCCAACACAGACGAAGACAGACUGCACCCACAGCUUCACAGCAGCCCAUGGGAACGUGUCUGGGGAGCCGCCUCUGACUCCCUUAGGCCUGUGGACUGGCACACUACUCCUGCACUGCACUGCCUUCCAAAGAGAGUCGCCAGCUUCGUGCUCACUUCACCCUUUGGCAACCCAGGAAUGGCUCCCACCCCAGCUGAAACCUGCCCAGAAGACUCAGACGUGUAUUGUGGAACAGAAAGAGCACUGGCUGAGGAGUUAAGCAUCCUGGGUUCUGAGCCCCAGGCCUCUUGUUCUGUGAUUGGCAGGUGUGGUCCCAGGCCAGCAGCAACAGCACCACCCACGAAGUACUGGGAUGAUUCGAUUCUGCCACGGAAACUGAAAGAAAUGAGUAAGAGGAGAGAGAGAUGUAAGAAUGGAAGCCAGCCAGGAAGGAGAGGAGCAUCUGUGUGCUGUGAAGGGAGGCCGGGCAGAUUCUGCACCAGGCCUCAGGUCGCCAGAUAACCUGUGACCCGUUCAGCACCAACUGUGGACACCGUUCAUUCUGGCCCACUUGUGUUCUGCCUAAGAAAUGCAAAUAAAAUCACAGCUCUCCCACAAAGCCCUCCCUGCAGGUGGGUGUCUCUGUCCUGGAGCCUGCAGAGAGAGACCAGCCCCACCUCCUGCCUGUCUCACCAUGGGUGUCUUCAUCUGUGGGCACCCUUCUGUGGUGACCUUUGGGGCGGCUGGCCUGUGGUGAGCCUGGGCUUGCCGCUGCAUCAGGGUGGUUUCCCAUCCGUUGGAAACUGAAGCUUCUUAGCCCCUGACAGCGGACAGGCCAUGCAGUUCACCAUGAGGGGAACAGAACUGUCCCGCACCCGCACCCCCUUCCUUCCUAGAUGGAGAAGCCUGACGGUGAGAUUCUGCAGCCGAAAGAUGAAACCACCUGGGGCCAAGGUUGCUACAAAAAUGAGUUUCUCCAAUUUCACUUGUCCCCACAGUAGAUUUUGGUUGAACAAGAAAUAAGCUUGUAAUGAUUCAAGCCCCUGAGAAUUUGUGGUCAUUUUUAAUGGCCUCAUAAGCCUACCCCAUCUGGAUUAAUAGACAGGAAGGGUUGGAGAG
rnacentral:lncRNA from 10 species